GCCGGGUGGACGCCGAAUCCUGCCGCCAUCCGGAAACCGUUCCCUAAUGACACACGGCAGGAGCGGGGGACCCAUAGGUAAGUCGCCGGUCCGGAUUCCGGAACGGCUUGGGGUGAAGUCGCACCGCGGUGCGGCCGGGCAUCUCCAGCCCGAACCCGACAGCUCACCUCGCAGGCGCAGGAGGAGAAAGA
rnacentral:sRNA from 2 species